UGGGGAAUAUUGGACAAUGGGCGAAAGCCUGAUCCAGCAAUGCCGCGUGAGUGAUGAAGGCCUUAGGGUUGUAAAGCUCUUUUACCCGGGAAGAUAAUGACUGUACCGGGAGAAUAAGCCCCGGCUAACUCCGUGCCAGCAGCCGCGGUAAUACGGAGGGGGCUAGCGUUGUUCGGAAUUACUGGGCGUAAAGCGCACGUAGGCGGCUUUGUAAGUUAGAGGUGAAAGCCUGAUGCUCAACACCAGAAUUGCCUUUAAGACUGCAUCGCUUGAAUCGCGGAGAGGUGAGUGGAAUUCCGAGUGUAGAGGUGAAAUUCGUAGAUAUUCGGAAGAACACCAGUGGCGAAGGCGGCUCACUGGACGCGUAUUGACGCUGAGGUGCGAAAGCGUGGGGAGCAAACAGGAUUAGAUACCCCCGUAGUCC
rnacentral:rRNA from 1 species